AUACGGAGGAUCCGAGCGUUAUCCGGAUUUAUUGGGUUUAAAGGGUGCGCAGGCGGCCAUUUAAGUCAGCGGUUAAAUCGUGGGGCUCAACCCCAUUCUGCCGUUGAUACUGGGUGGCUUGAUUGCGGUCGAGGUGGGCGGAAUUCGUUGUGUAGCGGUGAAAUGCAUAGAUAUGACGAAGAACACCGAUUGCGUAGGCAGCUGACCAGACCGCAAAUGACGCUCAUGCACGAAAGUGCGGGGAUCGAACAGGAUUAGAUACCCUGGUAGUCCGCACAGUAAACGAUGAAUACUUGUUUUCGGCGAUAUAAUGUCGGAGGCAAAGCGAAAGCGAUAAGUAUUCCACCUGGGGAGUACGCCGGCAACGGUGAAACUCAAAUGAAUUGACGGGG
rnacentral:rRNA from 1 species